ensembl:lncRNA
UCAGAGCUAUGGGGUACACAAACAAACCAAAAUGAUCAGCUAGAUACAGUAGCAGUAGCAGCUUUUGUUUGUAUACGUUUCAAGAUCUAUUUACAUGCGACAUUUGUCUGACUCGGUAUGUCAGAUCAUACAUUAGUAACUUUAGCUGGAUACACGUGCAUCUGUUGUUUUGAUAGCUGCCACCUGCAAGUUGGUUAAACAUAGUUCAUUGAAGAAUUUGCAUUUUUUCCCCAACAGUACUGCAUCCAGAUGUUAAUACAGAACAAUGAUUACAAAGAUAAUUUCUGCCUUUAGUUCUGCUGGUGGAAUUUCCAUGAAAGUUUAUAAGGAAGCUAUAACAAUAAUAAGGUAAAAUGAGACUGUGCCAUUAAUUUAGCAUAGAAGAGGGGUGUCCUUCUCCUGACAAAAUCAGUUUUGAGCCUGCCACGUCUGCAUAUGUUUAGAUUAGGUUGUGUAGGUUAGUCACUGAAGUCCAGAUUUUGGUUCCAGAAAUCCAAACCCUGAACAAGACCUGGGUUCAAUGUUGUCCAAAGUUCAGAGGAAUUCCAAGGAACUUUUUGGCUAGGUAUUUUGUUUUCAUUCAUAGAAAACACCUCAAAAUUGAACAAAAAUGUGUAAUUUGAGCGUGAAUGCUACCCUAUGCAAACUGUAUGUUACAUAAAUCAGGAGCAUUGAUGGACCGGUUCCAUUGCUGUUUAAUCACAGAGAAAUUUCCUUUCAGUCUUAUUGCCAAGCAGAACUGAGUCCUCUUGUGAUUCAAACAUGAAUCCUUCUCAGUGGCUUUCUUUAGGUGGCCUGGAUCCCCAUAAUCUAACCUUGCAGUCUACCUGUGGUCAAGAGAGGCAUGAUGGGAAGUGUCAGCAUUAGCUUCACCUUCCCCCCCACUCUUCUAUAAUGUUUGUCUGGAGGAUUUCCAACCACUGACUGCUUGCUCUUGACCUCAAUUCUGUGUGUCAUCAGAAAGUGAUGUGGGCACCUACACAGAGGUAGGAGUUUGACGCGGGACUGUGGGACAGCCCAUGAACAGUGUUCGCUAAGCGAUAACUGUGUGGGUUGAUCCCAGAUCAUUCCCUAGUGAAUCAAUGUAACACCUGAGCUUGCUUUUCUCUACCAGCACCUAUCACAUGAUAUUGGAAAGAGUGGCUGCAAAUCCCUGUGCUGGUUAGCUUAGUCACUAGCUGUGUUGUUAGGAUAUUUGUAGAAAUAAUGCUUAUGUUGCAUUAUGACUCUGCAUAUAUCUAUCUCUACAUCUGUGUGUAGGUGGGGGUGUGUAGCACAUCACACUGGUUAUUGGCAUAUAAAUCCACGCUAAAGCACUAACUGUAUCAUGCGACUGCUCCAGAUUUAAGGCUUUGUUAUGCAGAUUUUACAGGCAUAUAAAUUUGUCCUGUUGCAAACAGAAAUCAGGCUUACUAUUGCCAGUGGAAGUCCCACUUGCGGAACAACAUACCAAGCUCUUAUGGGUCUGUGCUGAUCACUGUGACAUGCCGUGUGUAUGCAGCUGAGGCUGUCUAACUCAGAAGAACCACAGAGCCUCUUUCUUUUCUUGCACUGCUCUGCUCUCUUGAGUUAUGCCCUUACCUCAUGUAUAUUGGUGCAGGUUGUGGAAUCACACUCAUGGUUGUCCGCUGGCCUUGGAACUGUUCUGCAUUUAGGACAGAGCUAGCAAAGCACUUCUGCAUGCAUUAAAAUGUCCUGCAGGUCAAUGGAAACAUUCUUAUACCCACUACUUUGCUGACCUGUGACUACAUCGUGAACAGAAAAGAGAAUUGGGAUGCACUCAAUCCUCUUCUCAUUCCUUUUGGUCCCUUGAAUAGGGUUUGCAAAAUGUGGUCCAUAAGAAUGGAUUUCUCUUUGGAGGAGAAGUGUGUGUAAGUGUGUAUGUGUCUGUGUGUGUGGGAACUGUGUAGGUUUUUAUGUUUGGUUUCUCUUCCUUUACAAAAAUUGUUCAGAGUAACACUCCCAUGGAUGGAAAGGCAACACAGUCAUCACUUACCUCCAUUUCUUUCAAUUGAAAAGUGAAACUAAAAUAUGCCAAUUUUCUGCUGCUUUUCUGGUGAAACUCCACUUUUGACACCAGUGGAAGGAACUGGAUGACUCCAGUGAGGGGAUGGGGACCUGGAAGUGGAGGAAGGUGCUUUAAAAGCAGAAAUCAUUGGCUAAUAUUUGUUUUUUUACCUAUGGAAUCCUAUGUAGAUUUGCUGGAUCUAGGACUUGUUGUAAUGUGAACAUACAGUUGAACUUAAUAGUGUCUCAUGUUGUCCGUGUAAGAAUCACGAGCCAACAAAUGCUAGUUAGGACUUGAAAUUGCACAUAAUAAUAAUAAUAAAACAACCCUGCCACGGCAAAACAUGGCCUUUGAGGCUUAUCUGUAUGUGGGAUUGAGGCAGUCCCACAUCUCUUGUCAGCAUGUGGUGAUCAGAUUGUAACAAUGGUGAAUUCCACAAAUGAUGUAAUACUGAAAGGAAAAAUUUGCUUACAGAUUUUGUAUCUCUUCACACUUGUGACUAAUGGGUCAGAUGUGAAAAAGCCUAGGAGACAGCUACUUUAUUGUCUUGCUCCCGUAUAAAUCUUGAAGAGAGGUCAGUAGAGUCUUUACAGAUUUGCAUUAAUGUUACUGUAGAAUUUGACUUAGUUUCAGUGAGAAUGGGAGUGUUGACUUUACAAAAUCAAACUUCCAAUAUGUCUGUCUCUUCUGGUUGAGGAAAUUAUCUUCCUUUGCCACAACAGCCAGUCUUGCAGAAACAAGAUGCUUACAUUUUCUGCAUAAUGUGCAAGUGCAUGAAGAAUAGGAAUGAUCUGGGUUUCUAGGUGAUCUCUACGUGGUAAAACGGAAAGCACCAUGAAAAUCAAAUUCAGCAUAAAUGGAGUUCCCAGCAUCUUCUCUAUAUAAAAUUAAGCGUCUCUGAUGGGAGCAGUGCAGGUUUAGGUGGUAGUUUGCUGGUAACUUGGGAAGAAGAGAAAGUGAACCUGACUGAAUUGCCUUUGCAGUGGUGGGGCAGUAAAUAUACUGCACUGGUUAUGGAAAGGCCUUUUGUCUUUGGAGAAAAAUAGCCAUUUGCAGUGAUCUCGUGUGCUAUAACAAUGCAGGAGGAGAACCUGGUUGCUAUUUUACAUUCUGUUGAGCUUGCUCCUUAGCUGAUGUAAAUAAACGUAGGCCAACUGAAGUCAAGACAGUAAUAUUGGUGUCUGUCAGCUGAGAGAUGUCUCACAAUAAAGGAAGGGACAAAAUCCUUCCAAGUGGCUUGAUAUUUGACUAUGUUUAUUUUGGUACGCAUAUAUAUCAGUUGUGAUUGCAGUACUUACACUGCUAAGAAAUGUUCUCACGUGGGAUGAUUCCCCUGUAUGCUCCAGCUUCUUGCAUCAUUAGAAACACAAAAAGUGAAUAUCUAUUUCUUCCCCUCAUCCAAGAAAAAAACUGAGGAUCUGGGGAGCCUUUGGCUCAAAGUUAGCACAGAUGUUAAAUGGCACAAGGAGCAAAGAUGUGGGGAGAGAAACUCAAUGUGUUUAAAGCUGAUAUGGAACCACAUUGAUCAAAGCAUAUUUAUGGUCAUCUUUCAACCCCAUUGCAUGUAUUGCCAUCUGUGGGAGUAGCCUGCAGAGCAGGCGGUCUUAAAUGCAAGAAAGAAAAAGAAAGAAAAAGAAUCAGCUCCUCAUCUGAAUGAGCGAGCAUAACAAUGAAUGACAUUAUUUCAUGAACUGUACCAGUUCAAAUGCAUGUGCACCUGGUGCUCCUAAUGCUUUUUACUCCUGUUGGUCUUUAGACAACAUGAGCAGUAAAAUGCUUUCUCUCUUUAAUUGUUAGCUGGUUUUAU